rnacentral:tRNA from 1 species
GAAGUAGCUCAGUUGGUAGAGCACCGGUCUCCAAAACCGGGUGUCGGGAGUUCGAGCCUCUCCUUC